GACGAACGCUGGCGGCGUGCCUAAUACAUGCAAGCCGAGCGAACCAAUAAGAAGCUUGCUUUUUUGUUGGUUAGCGGCGGACGGGUGAGUAACACGUGGGUAACCUGCCUGUAAGACCGGGAUAACUCCGGGAAACCGGUGCUAAUACCGGAUAGAUUAUCUUUCCGCCUGGAGAGAUAAGGAAAGAUGGCUAUUGCCAUCACUUACAGAUGGGCCCGCGGCGCAUUAGCUAGUUGGUGAGGUAACGGCUCACCAAGGCGACGAUGCGUAGCCGACCUGAGAGGGUGAUCGGCCACACUGGGACUGAGACACGGCCCAGACUCCUACGGGAGGCAGCAGUAGGGAAUCUUCCGCAAUGGACGAAAGUCUGACGGAGCAACGCCGCGUGAGUGAAGAAGGUCUUCGGAUCGUAAAGCUCUGUUGUUAGGGAAGAACAAGUAUCGGAGGAAAUGCCGGUACCUUGACGGUACCUGACGAGAAAGCCACGGCUAACUACGUGCCAGCAGCCG
rnacentral:rRNA from 1 species